CCGGUUGAUCCUGCCGGAGGAUACCGCUGUCGGGGUCCGAUUAAGUCAUGCGAGUUACUGGUCUUCGGACCAGAGCGGACCGCUGAGUAACACGUUGCUAACCUGCCCUUGGGCGGGGGAUAACCUCGGGAAACUGAGACUAAUACCCCAUAGGACGCUAUUUCUGGAACGAUUUGCGUCUCAAAGCUUCGGCACCCAAGGAUGGGGCAGCGGCGGAUUAGGCUGAUGUUAGGGUAAUUGCCUAACAUACCUAUAAUCCGUAGGGGCUGUGAGAGCAGUGGCCCCCAGAUGGGUUCUGAGAUACUAACCCAGGCCUUACGGGGCGCAGCAGAUACGAAACCUCCACAAUGCGCGUAAGCGUGAUGGGGGGACCUCGAGUGCUGGCGUUAAUACGUCAGCUUUUCUGGAGUUUAAAUCACUCCAAGAAUAAGUAGUGGGCAAUACCGUUGCCAGCCGCCGCGGUAAUAACGGAGCUACAAGUGGUAUCCAGUAAUACUGGGUCUAAAGCGUUCGUAGCCGGUUCUGCAAGUCUUUUGUGAAAUCCCAUAGCAAACUAUGGGGCGUGCAGAAGAUACUGCAGUACUAGAGACCGGGAAGAGUCGGGAGUACUCCUAGGGUAGCGGUAAUAUGCUUUAAUCCUAGGGGGACUACCUGUGGCGAAGGCGCCCGACUGGAACGGAUCUGACGGUGAGGGACGAAAGCCAGGGGAGCAACCCGGAUUAGAUACCCGGUUAGUCCUGGCCGUAAACAAUGCCCGCUUGGUAUUGGAGACCCUCAGUGGGUUUACAGUGCCGAAGGGAAGCCGAUAAGCGGGCCACCUGGGGAGUACGGUCGCAAGGCUGAAACUUAAAGGAAUUGGCGGGGGAGCACUACAAGGGGUGCGGUCUGCGGUUUAAUUGGAUUACACGCCGGAAACCUUACCAGGAGCGACAGCAGGAUGAAGGUCAGUCUGAAGGGCUUACCUGACACGCUGAGAGGUGUUGCAUGGCCGACGUCAGCUCGUGCUGUGAAGUGUCCAGUUAAGUCUGGUAACGAGCGAGACCCGUGUCAUAUGUUGCCAUCUUCUCCUCCGGGAGGAGAGCACUCAUAUGAGACUGCCAGCGAUAAGUUGGAGGAAGGCGCGGACAACGUUAGGUCAGUAUGGCCCGAAUCUCCUGGGCUACACGCGGGCUACAAUGGCGAGGACAAUGAGAUGCUACACCGAAAGGUGACGCAAACCCCCUAAACCUCGUCCCAGUACUGAUUGAGGGUUGCAACUCACCCUCAUGAUGCCGGAAUCCCUAGUAGUCGAAGGUUAUCACCCUUCGGCGAAUACGUCCCUGCUCCUUGCACACACUGCCCGUC
rnacentral:rRNA from 1 species